rnacentral:rRNA from 1 species
UAGGGAAUCUUCGGCAAUGGACGAAAGUCUGACCGAGCAACGCCGCGUGAGUGAAGAAGGUUUUCGGAUCGUAAAACUCUGUUGUUAGAGAAGAACAAGGACGUUAGUAACUGAACGUCCCCUGACGGUAUCUAACCAGAAAGCCACGGCUAACUACGUGCCAGCAGCCGCGGUAAUACGUAGGUGGCAAGCGUUGUCCGGAUUUAUUGGGCGUAAAGCGAGCGCAGGCGGUUUCUUAAGUCUGAUGUGAAAGCCCCCGGCUCAACCGGGGAGGGUCAUUGGAAACUGGGAGACUUGAGUGCAGAAGAGGAGAGUGGAAUUCCAUGUGUAGCGGUGAAAUGCGUAGAUAUAUGGGGGAACACCAGUGGCGAAGGCGGCUCUCUGGUCUGUUACUGACGCUGAGGCUCGAAAGCGUGGGGAGCAAACAGG